rnacentral:rRNA from 1 species
UAGGGAAUCUUCGGCAAUGGACGAAAGUCUGACCGAGCAACGCCGCGUGAGUGAAGAAGGUUUUCGGAUCGUAAAAACUCUGUUGGUAGAGAAGAACGUUGGUGAGAGUGGAAAGCUCAUCAAGUGACGGUAACUACCCCAGAAAGGGACGGCUAACUACGUGCCAGCAGCCGCGGUAAUACGUAGGUCCCGAGCGUUGUCCGGAUUUAUUGGGCGUAAAGCGAGCGCAGGUGGUUUAUUAAGUCUGGUGUAAA